rnacentral:lncRNA from 1 species
UUUCAAGUUUUAAAUUCAAAUAAUAAUAAACUAGGUACUAUUUUAUUGAUUCCAACAUUAUUUCAGUGGAAGCACAAAAUUAAUGUCCCCCAUAAAGAAAUCAUUAAUCCGUCCCAGAAAUAUGGACUGUUUUAAUGUUAACAAUAAAGAUUGUCUAUAUCAAUAACUUUGAAACUCCCGGGGUAUUCAUGCUUGUGCACUACUGCGCUUGAGCGACAGCCAUUAAAGAUGCCCUGUGCCUGUGCCUGUCUCCUUCAGUUUUCAGUAGUUGAAGGUGAAGUUCGUUCAUUGCUUGUUUAUCCUUUAUUUUAUCGCAUCAUCAAGUUGAUGAUAAUUUUUGAUUGCUGAAGGUCUUAAAUUAAGACGAAGGUGGGAAUAGAACUGCAGAUACAUAUUAUACUAAAAUCCACCAUGACAGAUGAAUAUGAUGCCAAGGAUUAGAUUUGAAAAAAGUUCUUCUCUCUACAUUUGAUGAAAGCCAUUUUCAGCAAAGGUGGGAAUAGAACUGCAGACGCAUAUACCAAAAUCCACCAUGACAGACGAAUAUGCUGCCAACUACAGUUUUAGAUUUAAAACUCCUUUCUACAUCUGAUGGAAACCAUUUUCAGUAAGUUGCACUAUACUAUUUCCUAAU